GAUGAAGAACUUAGUGAAAUGCGAUAAGUAAUGUGAAUUGCAGAAUUCAGUGAAUCAUCGAAUCUUUGAACGCACCUUGCGCUCUUUGGUAUUCCGAAGAGCAUGCCUGUUUGAGUGUCAUGAAAAUAUCAACCUUGACUUGGGUUUUGUGCUCUAGUCUCGGCUUGGAAUUGGGUGCUUGCCGCUUUUACGAGCGGCUCACCUUAAAUGUAUUAGCUGGAUCUGUCUUUGAGACUUGGUUUGACUUGGCGUAAUAAGUAUUUCGCUAAGGACAUUCUUCGGAGUGGCCUCGUUUCUAGGACGCUUGUCCGCUUUCCAAUACAAGUUCCACCUCGUGGACAUGACUUUUUAUUAUCUGGCCUCAAAUCAGGUAGGACUACCCGCUGAACUUAAGCAUAUCAAUAAGCGGAGGA
rnacentral:misc_RNA from 1 species